AGCGAACGCUGGCGGCAGGCCUAACACAUGCAAGUCGAACGAACUCUUCGGAGUUAGCGGCCGACGGGGGUGUAACACGUGGGAACGUGCCCUUUUGGUCGGAAUAACUCAGGGAAACUUGUGCUAAUACCGAAUGUGCCCUUCGGGGGAAAGAUUUAUCGCCAUUAGAGCGGCCCGCGUCUGAUUAGCUAGUUGGUGAGGUAACGGCUCACUAAGGCGACGAUUAGUAGCUGGGUUGAGAGGCUGGCCAGCCACACUGGGACUGAGAACCGGCCCAGAAUCCUACGGGAGGCAGCAGUGGGGAAUCUUGCGCAAUGGGCGAAAGCCUGACGCAGCCAUGCCGCGUGAAUGAUGAAGGUCUUAGGAUUGUAAAAUUCUUUCACCGGGGACGAUAAUGACGGUACCCGGAGAAGAAGCCCCGGCUAACUUCGUG
rnacentral:rRNA from 1 species